rfam:Deltaproteobacteria bacterium RIFOXYA12_FTLL_61_11 rifixya3_full_scaffold_5061, whole genome shotgun sequence.
GCCGAGGUGGUGGAAUUGGUAGACACGCACGGUUGAGGGCCGUGUGGGGCGACCCAUGCGGGUUCAAAUCCCGCCCCCGGNN